rnacentral:rRNA from 1 species
AUUUAGUAAUCAUCCUUCUUCCCACCUGGCACAACGGUAGGCCACCCAUGUCUAAAGCCUUCCCUGCAUGCGGCUGGAACAGUGGUAUGUGUUUUCUCAUCAACUCCAAAGAAUGAGAAAAGUGUAGAACAAGGUCCAUAAUGGCCUUAUAAAAUCUAAUACAACUUUCAACAACGGAUCUCUUGGCUCUCGCAUCGAUGAAGAACGCAGCGAAAUGCGAUAAGUAAUGUGAAUUGCAGAAUUCAGUGAAUCAUCGAAUCUUUGAACGCACCUUGCGCUCCUUGGUAUUCCGAGGAGCAUGCCUGUUUGAGUGUCAUUAAAUCAUCAACCCCCACUCCCUUGUGGUAUGGGGUGUUUGGACUUGGAGAUUGCAGGCCCACCAGUUGGGCCAGCUCCUCUGAAAUGCAUUAGCAGAGCCCAUCAUGUGCAUCUGUGGCUUGGUGUGAUAGUAAAUCUACACCUAGCAAUGUUGUGCAUCGAAUCUGCUGCCAGUCGUCCGCUUCGUGGACAACCAUUGACCAUUUGACCUCAAAUCAGGUAGGAUUACCCGCUGAACUU